CUUGGGCAGCUCUCCUGAUCUCUCCAGCACCUGAUAUUCCCAGUCAGUUGUAAAGCAGAGGUGAUGGUCUUCAUUUUGUGUCCCUCUAUGACUCACCUCAAAAGUGCAUAAAGAAAACUCUUGGAAGAAAGGCACAGCAUCUCUAUUGUUUUUAUGACAGACUCUGACAUCUCUUAAUCUGAGGCUACAAGAUUUCUUUUUUGGUUUUGUUCCUUUCCUUUAAUACCUGAUUAUUCCAGGAUGGCAAGAGGCAGUCGUACUGGAGUGGUUCUUCAUUUUGUGCACAGCCAGGUGAAACACAAACAGUGACAAAUUGAUGAUGGACUAGAACACAUUAGCGUGAAAAUCCUCAGAUGUCUCAUAAGGUAUCUCCUCUGAGUCUGCUGAAGUGAUAACACUACUGCAAGUGGCUUCUCUGGAAAAGAAAUUGUCCCCUGUUGGCUAUCGGUUUGAUUGGAUUGCGGUGAAGCUUCACAUCAGUCCUGAAAUAUAAUCUGUAGAGCCAGCAGAAGUUUGCUAGGAGACCAGGAGAGGUGUGUGGUGCGGGUUGGCUUUGCUCGGCAGCACGGGGUGAGCGGGGGGCUGGCACUGGGCAGGGCAGUGUGUGGAAGGACCGUGCUCUGGGUUGAGAAACCCGAAAGGAAAACAUCUCUAGUUCUCUCCUUGCCACCUAGUGUCCAUUCGUGUUAAAGAUUCUGGUUCAUCCUUGAGAUUAAAGCAAUAUUUGUGCCUCUUCUGCAACUAUCUGGUUUUUUUUGGAUCUCUCUCCAGAGGAAUCUUCGAGCUCUUAUGAAAACAGAGGAGAACACAUCUGCCCUUCAGCCCCGACUCACCCAAACCCUGUGUGAACCAUCUGGAUGUCAUGUCCCCAGCCACUUGGAGACCACAACAUACUCACCCCAAUCUCUCACACCCCCCAGUACGAGCCUCUCCUAAUCAGUAGGCGCUGUCUCACCAGAGCCCCUUUCUGCAGAGAAGUGAUAAGCCGUGCUUGGCUCCUGCUCCCCCACCCCUGCUGGUUCCUGUUUGCUGCCAUCUCAUCAGCAGGCACCAAAAAGCCCCACUUCCAUCCCUGCUGGGCUGCCCUCCCUGCCCUGCUCCGAAAUGCUGCCCGAAUGUCAUGGAAACAGUGCAUAGAGCUGCCAUGCACAGGAAGGGAGAGGGGAGCAAGGUAAGGGAGCAUGGUAUGUCCCCCAGGAACCCAAGGGAUGGCUCCAGAAUGAAACCCAGCUGUGACCAAAUGUGGAUUGUGACAUGGCUUUGAGGAGCAGUCUUCCCGAAACUUUCUGAAGAUGGAAGUGGCAUGCAUUAGUAAGGCGAGGAGGUCAGCAUGACCCUGAGAAAAGGAAGGAAUGAGUGAAUACAGCUCAUGUGGAUGAUUUCCUUUGCAUAACAUGGGGACAGGCCAAAAUACUCGGGUGCUCCCGAGGAGCUGCAUUUUGCAGACCUUCCACUGGGAGCUCCUCAAAGCCCUCCUGGGCUGUGCUGGAUGCUGGGCUGCGUCUCUCUCCCAUCACACCGUGGCUGGCAAAGGGUGAUCCGCACUCUCUGAAAUAUAACUCUGAAAGUAAUGGCAUUAAAAAUAAGCAUUGAGAUCAGCUCUCCCUGCCCCUCCAUCCCUCUGCCACCAAAUGCACAAAACCCAGCAUCGGGGCAGACUCGGAUCUAUGUUCUCCCUCUGCCCCAGGCUAUUUGGGGACCUGGUGGCACAUGGGAAUGAGGAGAGCAAUGCUGCUGAACUCAGCACGGAGUCUCGGGUGUUUGGAAACAAACCUCUUCUGGAUCAGGGAGAAAUGAGUCUGUUUCUGUGAGAUCGAUCUGCAGGCACCAACGGAGUGUUCAGCUGGACUUCUACGAGAGAGGCAACAAACAGUGAAUUAGGGGUCAGCCUGCAGAGACAUCAGACAGAUGGGGAAUCACAGUGACAACAUCGCUGCGUUCUGCCUUUCAGUGGCUGUCAGCUGGGCUCAGCCAGCUCCUUGCUGCCCUGACAAUCCAUGGUUCUGCCGUGGUGGCUGUGUGCUCUGCUCUGUGUGUCAACCUUCUGCUUCAUCCUGCUCUGAAAGUGAGACUUCUGCAUCUACAAUCAACGACCUCAAGCCUCACCCUUGCUGGCUGAGGCAGCCUGGUGAUGCAAAAGACCAGGACCCAUAGAAGCAACUUGAUAAUAUUGCUCAACAAACCAGUGCCAAACCAGAAAUGCAAUCUCUGCCUGGACAAAAUCUGAAAUUUUCAUUGCAGCUACAAGAUAAGUUGUGUAAGCAGCUGUGCUGGAGACAACUGAAUGCUGAGGAAAAGAGGUUUUCCAUUGCUGCCUGGCUGGAUGGUCCUACCUUGCUUCCAGGGGCUGAGCUGCAUCCUGCACCCUCCCAAGUGUCGUGACUUCAUGACUGUCCCCCCUGUCACUGUUCAUCUUUAGGAAGGAGGUGAGACUGCCCAGGUCCCCCACAAACAUGGAAAAUCAAAGCUCAGCUGUGCACAAGCCAGGAUGCCAGGCCAGCUCAGCCUGCUCAGCAGCAAUGUCUUUUUCACCAUUUAAGAGCAUCCUGCAGGAAUGAGAGCUUAUCUCCAAGACCUGCCACUUCCACAAGCUGCCUUCAGCUCAGUGCUACUGUGAAGUCACAGGGGGAGUGUGACCUUUAUGGGAAUGGUAAGUCGUUGUGGCUUUCUUAGUGUUUAACGUUCUUCAUUGAUUAGUUUCCAUCUCCCCAAAGGGAGGAGGGUUUGACUGUGAGCCAGCGCUCAGCAGUACCCAGUGCAGUGGGUGGUGGUGAGCUCUCAAGUGAGAAAACCAGCAAAGCAAAAUGCGGGGAGUGACUUUCAGAAAUGGAGACAAGAGAAGGAGCGACUCUCAGGAAGGAUAUUUUUCCUGAUCUGGACUAAAACCCCACCGCCACUUCCAUAAACCGUUCACUGUCAGAGGUGCACCAAGUGUGACCGCUUAUUUCAGCUCCAAACCACGGUUGCUGCACAUCCCCGGUGCCUCCCAUCCUGUGCCAAGUGCUCAGCAGUGGAGGACCCGUGGCCCUGGGGCUGUGACAGCUCUGCCCUCCCAUCUGCACACAGAUGCGGCACAAAACAAAGAAGAAAAGCGAGAGGGGAGCGCCGAGCCAAAGAGCGGUCACCGCUUCUGUUGUGCUGAGUGUUUUGUGCCAGCUUAGACAAGGAAGAUUUAUGGCGAGGACGGUGCCCGGCUGCAUCUGAGCACGAUAAUCCUCUCGCGGUUGGUGAAAACCGAGGCGCUGUUCCUCCAGCUUGUUAGCAGUCAGGAAGAUGGAAGGAAGUGGGAGGAAUCUGGAGGGUGAGGGUUUCGAGUGCCUCACUCGUCACUGCUGAACCCGGCUCUAUUUAUGGUGCAAUUAUCACCGCAGACAGACUCCUUUAUCAUCCAGCCAAUAUUCUGGGUACGAAUCCUAUUGCAGCACAGCCACUCCAUACAUCAUCCGGGUGCAGCAGCAGCCAGGUGAAGAGGUUCGGAGCAGCGAGCGGCUCUGCCAGAGGCAGGAAGAGGGCAAGCAGGAGCCUGGUUCCCACUUGACCCCAUAUCUUGCCCAAAAUCCUUUUGUUUUAGGGAGGAAAUGGUGCUUUUCUCCUCCUUUGUGCUGGCAUCCCUUCUGCAGUCGGCCUGCCUUUCUCCAGGGAAAGCUCCUAUGCAGCCCACGCUCCUGUGGUUGGUGUGGGGCAAGGCCAGAGCAGGAUGGGCUAUGAACAGUGCCAGUGGAGCCAGGACUCUAUAUGAUUGCAGUGUGGAUUUGCUGGUGUCUCAUAAGGGUUAAGCAGCCACAUACCCAACUGACUGUAGGGAAUCUACUAUAGUGCGGGGGUGGGGGGGUAAGAUGAUUUCGAGAGGUCCCUUCCAACCCCUAUAAUGCUGUGAUUUUGUGUUCCCCUCCCCAUGGUGGAUGCAUUUCUCUUCUGUUUCACUGCCCAUAUCAGAACCUAGAUGUAGCAGGGAGCCCCUUCCUCUGUGCCAAACACUGGAGUUAUGGGGUGGGAACCAGCAAGCACGCAGCUGGGUCACAGAGCUGCCUGCAGAACCACACCAAGCCCCCUAGGAACAUAACCCUGAUCCUACUGCAGCACCGAUCACCCCAACCCAUCCUGCUCAUCUGCCCCCCCAGCUCCCCUCUGUCAUUGCACAGAGCCAGGCUGCAUUUACUCAGGGAUAAACCUUAGCACCUGCAAGGAGGGACAUUCUUGAGGCACGGAGCUGUAAUAACCAUUGCUCACAAUGCUCUCUUAGCUUCUAAUUGCCAACGACUCCUCCUUUUUCACGUUGCCGGUGCUUGAAAAGGGAAAAACGCAUCUAGGAAAUGUAAUUUAAUACCCCAAACGUGCUCACUUAAUUGCAAUCCCCAUAAGCCAGCCACACAAAACUAAACAAAUUCGAUUAAUUUAUUUCAAUUUGCACAAGUCUCCCUCUCAGACUGUAAUUAAUGGAGGGAAACAAUUAAGGUAAACACAGUGCAGCUGAGAGAGCUGUUCUCGUUAAAAGUCACAUUUUAUUUUAAUAAUGCUGUAUUUAUAUAAGUUCCACACUUUUAACAAGUUUCCCAUUACCUUGGUGUUUAAUCAGCGCCGUAAAUAUUUCGCUUCAAGUGAAAUCGUUUUUGUGAAGCCAUAAAUCAACAGGGAGGGAGGGAGCAGGGAGAGAGCACAUUGCUGGGGGGAUGGGGAGGCAGGGGCUUGGGUCUCAGCAUCGUGACAUUGUGUGUGUGUAUAUAUGGCCCCAUACAGGCUCCCUCUAUCUACACGCUGGCACUGUCCCACCAAGCACUGAAAAGCAGGAAGAGUGUGCUCCAGCUGUCAUUGCACCAAAGUGUCUUUUUGCUAGAGCAUGAAAAAAAAAAGAUGGGUGCUGUUUUUUUUCCCCCCUUCCUUCCUUAAUUAACCUUUAGGUACAACAUGCUCUCCUUUCAGUGCAAGCACGGCCUUACUAGAGAAGAUCUUAGCUCCAACAAUCUCAUGGUGUUGAUUUUCUGCUAUCUCAGUCUAAUUAGUUUGGAAAUUCACCAUUUGUUAAAGAGAGACGAGGUGCAGCCAGACACCUGCUGUAUUAAUUACUUGCCUCUUCAGCUAAUUGCUUGCCCACACUGUUAGGCAAGUUGUCACUGAUGUUCGGAGUUGGAGACUGAACGAGAAGGAGAGAUUUUGGAGGAGGAGACGGGAGAUGGGGCAGGGCAGAGGGGCCGGUGCUAACGCUGCUUCCCAGCUCUCCGGGGCUGUAAAACCUCUGGUACAGGACACGUCCCAGCGGCUGCGAGGUGCGGGAUGGGUGGCGAGGGAAGAGGGACGGGUUGGGAGAGCUGGGGACCUCGGGCCCCGCCGCGCUCAGCCUCAGCGCGCCCCCUGGUGGAAGAGUGCGGCACUGCACGGCAGGGAACGGCUCAGAUCAGCCGUCCUGGCAGCACAGCAGAGCUGGGCAUCCCCGGGGCAUGGCUUUUUUUCAACAGCGUGGCUGGGGGUGAAAUUUGAGGUGUAAUUCCUCUCCAGUACCAUUACUGUACACGGUACCAUUUCAGGUGCUGAUGCUGUUAUUCACU